rnacentral:rRNA from 1 species
GUGGGGAAUCUUGCGCAAUGGGCGAAAGCCUGACGCAGCCAUGCCGCGUGAAUGAUGAAGGUCUUAGGAUUGUAAAAUUCUUUCACCGCGGACGAUAAUGACGGUACCCGGAGAAGAAGCCCCGGCUAACUUCGUGCCAGCAGCCGCGGUAAUACGAAGGGGGCUAGCGUUGCUCGGAAUUACUGGGCGUAAAGGGCGCGUAGGCGGACAGUUUAGUCAGAGGUGAAAGCCCAGGGCUCAACCUUGGAAUUGCCUUUGAUACUGGCUGUCUUGAGUUUGGGAGAGGUGAGUGGAACUCCGAGUGUAGAGGUGAAAUUCGUAGAUAUUCGGAAGAACACCAGUGGCGAAGGCGACUCACUGGCCCAAUACUGACGCUGAGGCGCGAAAGCGUGGGGAGCAAACAGGAUUAGAAACCCUAGUAGUCC